AUUGAACGCUGGCGGCAUGCUUUACACAUGCAAGUCGGACGAGUGGCGGACGGGUGAGUAACGCAUCGGAACGUACCCAGUACAGGGGGCUAACUGUCCGAAAGGACAGCUAAUACCGCAUAGUAUCCGAGCGAGCGAGGUCUGAUUAGCGGGUUGGGGGGGUAAAGGCCCACCAAGGCGACGAUCAGUAGCGGGUCUGAGAGGAUGAUUGGCCACACUGGGAACGAGACACGGCCCAGACUCCUACGGGAGGCAGCAGUGGGGAAGUUGGGACAAUGGGCGCAAGCCUGAGCCAGCCAUGCCGCUGGUCUGAAGAAGGCCUUCGGGGUUUAAAGGACUUUUGUCAGGGAAGCGGUACCUGAAGAAUAAGCACCGGCUAACUACGUGCCAGCAGCCGCGGUAAUAC
rnacentral:rRNA from 1 species